UACGGAGGGUGCAAGCGUUAUCCGGAUUUACUGGGUUUAAAGGGUGCGUAGGCGGUUAGGUAAGUCAGUUGUGAAAUCUCCGAGCUUAACUCGGAAACUGCCUUUGAUACUAUUUAUCUUGAAUAUUGUGGAGGUAAGCGGAAUAUGUCAUGUAGCGGUGAAAUGCGUAGAUAUGACAUAGAACACCAAUUGCGAAGGCAGCUCACUAAGCAGAUAUUGACGCUGAGGCACGAAAGCGUGGGGAUCAAACAGG
rnacentral:rRNA from 1 species